AUACGGAGGAUGCGAGCGUUAUCCGGAUUUAUUGGGUUUAAAGGGUGCGUAGGCUGUUUGUCAAGUCAGGGGUGAAAUACCUGGGCUCAACCGAGGAAUUGCCUUUGAUACUGGCAGGCUUGAAUACUGUUGACGUGGGAGGAAUGAGUAGUGUAGCGGUGAAAUGCAUAGAUAUUACUCAGAACACCGAUUGCGAAGGCAUCUCACGAAACAGCGAUUGACGCUGAGGCACGAAAGCGUGGGGAACAAACAGGAUUAGAUACCCUGGUAGUCCACGCAGUAAACGAUGAUAACUAACCGUUGGCGAUAGACAGUCAGUGGCCAAGCGAAAGCGAUAAGUUAUCCACCUGGGGAGUACGACCGCAAGGUUGAAACUCAAAUGAAUUGACGGGG
rnacentral:rRNA from 1 species